UACGAAGGGGGCUAGCGUUGUCCGGAUUUACUGGGCGUAAAGGAUGCGUAGGCGGAUAUUUAAGUCAGAUGUGAAAUUCCCGGGCUCAACUUGGGAGCUGCAUUUGAAACUGGGUAUCUAGAGUGCGGGAGAGGAGAGUGGAAUUCCUAGUGUAGCGGUGAAAUGCGUAGAUAUCAGGAGGAACACCUGUGGUGUAGACAGCUUACUGGACCAUUUCUGACGCUGAGACACGAAAGCGUGGGUAGCAAACAGG
rnacentral:rRNA from 1 species